rnacentral:rRNA from 1 species
AGUGAACGCUUCCUCUCUUCCUAACACAUGCAGGUCGAACGGCAGCACAGUAAGAGCUUGCUCUUACGGGUGGCGAGUGGCGGGCGGGUGAGGAAUACAUCGGAAUCUACUUUUUCGUGGGGGAUAACGUAGGGAAACUUACGCUAAUACCGCAUACGACCUACGGGUGAAAGCAGGGAAUCUUCGGACCUUGCGCGAUUGAAUGGGCCGAUGUCGGAUUAGCUAGUUGGCGGGGUAAAGGCCCACCAAGGCUACGCUCCGUAGCUGGUCUGAGAGGAUGAUCAGCCACACUGGAACUGAGACACGGUCCAGACUCCUCCGGGAGGCAGCAGUGGGGAAUAUUGGACAAUGCGCGCAAGCCUGAUCCAGCCAUACCGCGUGGGUGAAGAAGGCCUUCGGGUUGUAAAGCCCUUUUGUUGGGAAAGAAAAGCAGCAGGUUAAUACCCCGCUGUUCUGACGGUACCCAAAGAAUAAGCACCGGCUAACUUCGGG